AUUGAACGCUGGCGGCAGGCUUAACACAUGCAAGUCGAGCGGGGUGAUGGUGCUUGCACUAUCACUUAGCGGCGGACGGGUGAGUAAUGCUUAGGAAUCUGCCUAUUAGUGGGGGACAACAUCUCGAAAGGGAUGCUAAUACCGCAUACGUCCUACGGGAGAAAGCAGGGGAUCACUUGUGACCUUGCGCUAAUAGAUGAGCCUAAGUCGGAUUAGCUAGUUGGUGGGGUAAAGGCCUACCAAGGCGACGAUCUGUAGCGGGUCUGAGAGGAUGGUCCGCCAGACUGGUACUGAGCCACGGCCCAGACUCCUACGGAGGGAAGCAGUGGAGAAUAUUGGACAAUGGGGGGAACCCUGAUCCAGCCAAGCCGCGUGUGGUAAGAAGGCCUUAUGGUUGUAAAGCACUUUAAGCGAGGAGGAGGCUCUUUUGGUUAAUACCCAAGAUGAGUGGACGUUACUCGCAGAAUAAGCACCGGCUAACUCUGUGCAGCAGCCGCCGUAA
rnacentral:rRNA from 1 species